rnacentral:misc_RNA from 1 species
CCACCAGCCCCAUAUACAUACCCAUGAUCAAGAUGUUAAUUUGUGUGAAUAGUGGAAAAAAGAGGACUCAUGUCAUAUGUUUUGUAUUCCUGGGCAGCUGCUUCUGUGUUAUUUUUCUUCAUGGCAAUGCCUUUGUGCUUUGUUGGCCGAUGUCAUUGUGCUUCUUUGAAGGAGCAGAAGGUGGGAUUGGCAGUGCUUUGGGCAAGAAACCAAAGAAGGCACGCGGUGAAUGCUGAGACAUAGGCUUGAUCUUGAAAAUUUGAGCACUCUGCCUUGACCCAUGAGAGUAAGCAACAAAAGAUACAAGUAAGAGCAGCCACAACACAAGAACUAGAUGACUCUUACCCAUUUCACUAAUCCCAAAACCUAGAGUGCAAGAAGAGAGAAAAAGAGAGAGAAGAGAAGAUAGAACCUCUAGAGAGACAGAGAGGGGG